GACAGAGGGUGCAAACGUUGUUCGGAUUUACUGGGCGUAAAGGGCGCGUAGGCGGCGUGGUAAGUCAGCUGUGAAAUCUCCGAGCUUAACUCGGAACGGUCAGCUGAUACUGCUGUGCUAGAGUGCAGAAGGGGCAAUCGGAAUUCUUGGUGUAGCGGUGAAAUGCGUAGAUAUCAAGAGGAACACCUGAGGUGAAGACGGGUUGCUGGGCUGACACUGACGCUGAGGCGCGAAAGCUAGGGUAGCAAACGGG
rnacentral:rRNA from 1 species